rnacentral:precursor_RNA from 11 species
CUAACGGUGUCCCGAGAGUGAUCGAAGUUCGAAGGAACUCCCGGUGUGAUAUUCGAAGUUACAAUUGGAUAGCAUAUCACAGCAGUAGUUACCUACCAACUUUGCACUUUGCCAGUCUUCGUCGUCG